rnacentral:rRNA from 1 species
AUUGAACGCUGGCGGCAGGCCUAACACAUGCAAGUCGAGCGGUAGAGAGGUGCUUGCAUCUCUUGAGAGCGGCGGACGGGUGAGUAAUGCCUAGGAAUCUGCCUAGUGGUGGGGGAUAACGUUCGGAAACGGACGCUAAUACCGCAUACGUCCUACGGGAGAAAGCGGGGGAUCUUCGGACCUCGCGCCAUUAGAUGAGCCUAGGUCGGAUUAGCUAGUUGGUGAGGUAAUGGCUCACCAAGGCGACGAUCCGUAACUGGUCUGAGAGGAUGAUCAGUCACACUGGAACUGAGACACGGUCCAGACUCCUACGGGAGGCAGCAGUGGGGAAUAUUGGACAAUGGGCGCAAGCCUGAUCCAGCCAUGCCGCGUGCAGGAAUAAGGUCCUAUGGAUGUAAACUGC